rnacentral:rRNA from 1 species
UACCCGCGGCAAGACGGAAAGACCCCGUGAACCUUUACUAUAGCUUGACACUGAACAUUGAGCCUUGAUGUGUAGGAUAGGUGGGAGGCUUUGAAGUGUGGACGCCAGUCUGCAUGGAGCCGACCUUGAAAUACCACCCUUUAAUGUUUGAUGUUCUAACGUGGACCCGUUACCCGGGUUGCGGACAGUGUCUGGUGGGUAGUUUGACUGGGGCGGUCUCCUCCUAAAGAGUAACGGAGGAGCACGAAGGUUGGCUAAUCCUGGUCGGACAUCAGGAGGUUAGUGCAAUGGCAUAAGCCAGCUUGACUGCGAGCGUGACGGCGCGAGCAGGUGCGAAAGCAGGUCAUAGUGAUCCGGUGGUUCUGAAUGGAAGGGCCAUCGCUCAACGGAUAAAAGGUACUCCGGGGAUAACAGGCUGAUACCGCCCAAGAGUUCAUAUCGACGGCGGUGUUUGGCACCUCGAUGUCGGCUCAUCACAUCCUGGGGCUGAAGUAGGUCCCAAGGGUAUGGCUGUUCGCCAUUUAAAGUGGUACGCGAGCUGGGUUUAGAACGUCGUGAGACAGUUCGGUCCCUAUCUGCCGUGGGCGCUGGAGAACUGAGGGGGGCUGCUCCUAGUACGAGAGGACCGGAGUGGACGCAUCACUGGUGUUCGGGUUGUCAUGCCAAUGGCACUGCCCGGUAGCUAAAUGCGGAAGAGAUAAGUGCUGAAAGCAUCUAAGCACGAAACUUGCCCCGA